AAAUUGAAGAGUUUGAUCAUGGCUCAGAUUGAACGCUGGCGGCAGGCCUAACACAUGCAAGUCGAACGGUAACAGGAAGCAGCUUGCUGCUUCGCUGACGAGUGGCGGACGGGUGAGUAAUGUCUGGGAAACUGCCUGAUGGAGGGGGAUAACUACUGGAAACGGUAGCUAAUACCGCAUAACGUCGCAAGACCAAAGAGGGGGACCUUCGGGCCUCUUGCCAUCAGAUGUGCCCAGAUGGGAUUAGCUUGUUGGUGGGGUAACGGCUCACCAAGGCGACGAUCCCUAGCUGGUCUGAGAGGAUGACCAGCCACACUGGAACUGAGACACGGUCCAGACUCCUACGGGAGGCAGCAGUGGGGAAUAUUGCACAAUGGGCGCAAGCCUGAUGCAGCCAUGCCGCGUGUAUGAAGAAGGCCUUCGGGUUGUAAAGUACUUUCAGCGGGGAGGAAGGUGUUGUGGUUAAUAACCGCAGCAAUUGACGUUACCCGCAGAAGAAGCACCGGCUAACUCCGUGCCAGCAGCCGCGGUAAUACGGAGGGUGCAAGCGUUAAUCGGAAUUACUGGGCGUAAAGCGCACGCAGGCGGUCUGUUAAGUCAGAUGUGAAAUCCCCGGGCUCAACCUGGGAACUGCAUCUGAUACUGGCAGGCUUGAGUCUCGUAGAGGGGGUAGAAUUCCAGGUGUAGCGGUGAAAUGCGUAGAGAUCUGGAGGAAUACCGGUGGCGAAGGCGGCCCCCUGGACGAAGACUGACGCUCAGGUGCGAAAGCGUGGGGAGCAAACAGGAUUAGAUACCCUGGUAGUCCACGCCGUAAACGAUGUCGACUUGGAGGUUGUGCCCUUGAGGCGUGGCUUCCGGAGCUAACGCGUUAAGUCGACCGCCUGGGGAGUACGGCCGCAAGGUUAAAACUCAAAUGAAUUGACGGGGGCCCGCACAAGCGGUGGAGCAUGUGGUUUAAUUCGAUGCAACGCGAAGAACCUUACCUGGUCUUGACAUCCACGGAAGUUUUCAGAGAUGAGAAUGUGCCUUCGGGAGCCGUGAGACAGGUGCUGCAUGGCUGUCGUCAGCUCGUGUUGUGAAAUGUUGGGUUAAGUCCCGCAACGAGCGCAACCCUUAUCCUUUGUUGCCAGCGGUUAGGCCGGGAACUCAAAGGAGACUGCCAGUGAUAAACUGGAGGAAGGUGGGGAUGACGUCAAGUCAUCAUGGCCCUUACGACCAGGGCUACACACGUGCUACAAUGGCAUAUACAAAGAGAAGCGACCUCGCGAGAGCAAGCGGACCUCAUAAAGUAUGUCGUAGUCCGGAUUGGAGUCUGCAACUCGACUCCAUGAAGUCGGAAUCGCUAGUAAUCGUGGAUCAGAAUGCCACGGUGAAUACGUUCCCGGGCCUUGUACACACCGCCCGUCACACCAUGGGAGUGGGUUGCAAAAGAAGUAGGUAGCUUAACCUUCGGGAGGGCGCUUACCACUUUGUGAUUCAUGACUGGGGUGAAGUCGUAACAAGGUAACCGUAGGGGAACCUGCGGUUGGAUCACCUCCUUACCUUAAAGAA
rnacentral:rRNA from 1 species